GACGAACGCUGGCGGUGUGCUUAACACAUGCAAGUCGAACGGUAAGGCCCUUUCGGGGGUACACGAGUGGCGCACUGGUGAGUAACACGUGAGUAACCUGCCCUCAUCUCUGGGAUAACAGUCGGAAACGGUUGCUAAUACUGGAUAUGAGCUUGCAAGGCAUCUUGUGGGUUGGAAAGAUUUUUUUGGUUGGGGAUGGACUCGCGGCCUAUCAGCUUGUUGGUGAGGUAGUGGCUCACCAAGGCUUCGACGGGUAGCCGGCCUGAGAGGGCGACCGGCCACAUUGGGACUGAGAUACGGCCCAAACUCCUACGGGAGGCAGCAGUGGGGAAUAUUGCACAAUGGACGGAAGUCUGAUGCAGCAACGCCGCGUGCGGGAUGACGGCCUUCGGGUUGUAAACCGCUUUCAAUUGUGACGAAGCUUUUUGUGACGGUAGCAGUAGAAGAAGCACCGGCUAACUACGUG
rnacentral:rRNA from 1 species